rnacentral:rRNA from 1 species
GCGUGGGGCGGAAACGACACUAACAAUCCUUCGGGUGCGUUAAUGGGCGUCGAGCGGCGGACGGGUGAGUAAUGCCUAGGAAAUUGCCUUGAUGUGGGGGAUAACCAUUGGAAACGAUGGCUAAUACCGCAUAAUGCCUACGGGCCAAAGAGGGGGAUCUUCGGACCUCUCGCGUCAAGAUAUGCCUAGGUGGGAUUAGCUAGUUGGUGAGGUAAUGGCUCACCAAGGCGACGAUCCCUAGCUGGUCUGAGAGGAUGAUCAGCCACACUGGAACUGAGACACGGUCCAGACUCCUACGGGAGGCAGCAGUGGGGAAUAUUGCACAAUGGGCGAAAGCCUGAUGCAGCCAUGCCGCGUGUAUGAAGAAGGCCUUCGGGUUGUAAAGUACUUUCAGUUGUGAGGAAGGGGGUAACGUUAAUAGCGUUAUCUCUUGACGUUAGCAACAGAAGAAGCACCGGCUAACUCCGUGCCAGC